UACGGGGGGGGCAAGCGUUGUUCGGAAUUACUGGGCGUAAAGGGCUCGUAGGCGGCCAACUAAGUCAGACGUGAAAUCCCUCGGCUUAACCGGGGAACUGCGUCUGAUACUGGAUGGCUUGAGAUUGGGAGAGGGAUGCGGAAUUCCAGGUGUAGCGGUGAAAUGCGUAGAUAUCUGGAGGAACACCAGAGGCGAAGGCGGCUACCUGGACAAUUGCUGACGCUCAGGCACGAAAGCGUGGGGAGCAAAAGGG
rnacentral:rRNA from 1 species